GAUGAACGCUGGCGGCGUGCUUAACACAUGCAAGUCGAACGGAAAGGUCCUGCUUUUGUGCGUUGCUCGAGUGGCGAACGGGUGAGUAACACGUGAGUAACCUGUCCUUGACUUUGUGAUAACUUUAGGAAACUGGGGCUAAUACCGGAUAUGAGCUCCUGCUGCAUGUUGGGGGUUGGAAAGUUUCGGCGGUUCGGGAUGUACUCGCGGCUUAUGAGCUUGUUGGUGGGGUAGUGGUUUUCCAAGGCUUUGACGGGUAGCCGGCCUGAGAAGGUUGCCGGGGACAAGAGGACUAAGAUAGGGAGCAGAAGGGUACGGGAGGCAGCAGUGGAGAGUAUGACAGAAUGGGCGGGAGCCUGAUGCGGAAGCGCCGCGUGCGGGAUGACGGGCUUCGAGUUGUAAACAGACUUCGAAUGAAACGUAGAGGGAGUGACGGUAAUGGGUAAAAAAGCAACGGCUAACUACGUG
rnacentral:rRNA from 1 species